GCCGGAUGUACCUUUGGAGGAGACUGAAAUUUUGAGGCGUGAAGCUGUCAAACAUAAUAUCGAGCUAGUGCUCCUUACCACACCCACUACUCCAAUGGAAAGAAUGAAAGCAAUUGUCGAAGCUUCGGAAGGAUUUGUGUACCUUGUUAGCUCCAUUGGAGUUACUGGGGCACGUACUUCUGUAAGUGCUCGUGUGCAAUCUCUUUUGCAAGACAUUAAAGAGGUAUCGG
rnacentral:misc_RNA from 1 species